CCUACGGGAGACAGCAGUGAGGACUAUUGGUCAAUGGACGAGAGUCUGAACCAGCCAAGUAGCGUGAAGGAUGACUGCCCUAUGGGUUGUAAACUUCUUUUAUAUGGGAAUAAAAUGUUCCACGUGUGGGAUUUUGUAUGUACCAUAUGAAUAAGGAUCGGCUAACUCCGUGCCAGCAGCCGCGGUAAUACGGAGGAUCCGAGCGUUAUCCGGAUUUAUUGGGUUUAAAGGGAGCGUAGGUGGAUUGUUAAGUCAGUUGUGAAAGUUUGCGGCUCAACCGUAAAAUUGCAGUUGAAACUGGCAGUCUUGAGUACAGUAGAGGUGGGCGGAAUUCGUGGUGUAGCGGUGAAAUGCUUAGAUAUCACGAAGAACUCCGAUUGCGAAGGCAGUUCACUGGACUGCAACUGACACUGAGGCUCGAAAGUGUGGGUAUCAAACAGGAUUAGAUACCAGUGUAGUC
rnacentral:rRNA from 1 species